rnacentral:rRNA from 1 species
UACGUAGGCAGCGAGCGUUGUUCGGAAUUACUGGGCGUAAAGAGUGUGUAGGCGGUGCUCUAAGUUCGGUGUGAAAUCUCCUGGCUCAACCUGGGAGGGUGCGCCGGAAACUGGAGUGCUUGAGCGUGGGAGAGGAAAGGCGGAAUUCCUGGUGUAGCGGUGAAAUGCGUAGAUAUCAGGAGGAACACCUGUGGUGUAGACGGCUUUCUGGACCAUAGCUGACGCUGAGACACGAAAGCGUGGGUAGCAAACAGG